GGUUCCCUCUCUGAAUUGUAGUUUGAAGAAAUGUGUUCUGUGGCGGUACGAGAUCCAAGUCUCCUGGAAUGGAGCAUCAGAGAGGGUGAAAAUCCCGUCCUUGGCUUGCUACUUGUCGCUUUACGAUAGCAUUUCGAAGAGUCGAGUUGUUUGGGAAUGCAGCUCAAAGUGGGUGGUAAAUUUCAUCCAAGGCUAAAUAUUGGCAGGAGACCGAUAGCGAACAAGUACCGUGAGGGAAAGAUGAAAAGCACUUUGAAAAGAGAGUUAAAUAGCACGUGAAAUUGUUAAAGGGGAAACGUUUGAAGCCAGUGAUGGUUGCGGGUAUUCAACGUUCAGUUUCGGCUGGGCGUGUAUUUGCCCGUGCCAGGUCAGCAUCAAUUUGGUCUGCCGGAUAAUGACUGUGGAAGGUGCCAUGCCUCUCGGGGUAUGGGUUAUAGCCGCGGUUGAUACGGUGGGCUGGAUUGAGGCCAGCAGCGCGUUUUGGGACUAGUGUGUUUGUUUCUUCGGCCAUGGUAUGACAGGCUUGCCUGAUGUGCUGUGGAUUGCGGGUGCAGACAUGCGACGGACACUUGAGCGCUUAGGAUGCUGACGAAAUGGCUUUAAAUGACCCGUCUUGAAACACGGACCAAGGAGUCUAACAUAUACGCGAGUAUUUGAGUGGCAAACUC
rnacentral:rRNA from 1 species